CAGGGUUAUCGUGCUGCUGCUGAAGUUC
rnacentral:piRNA from 1 species